AUUUCGGUAGCUUAUUAGAGCGUGACACUGAAGAUGUUAAGGAGGUUUUUAACCCUGAGAUA
rnacentral:tRNA from 1 species